rfam:Salmo salar isolate Sally breed double haploid chromosome ssa29, whole genome shotgun sequence.
GGUUUGGGGUAUUAGUAAGUCGCUCUGGAUAAGAGCGUCUGCUAAAUGACGUAAA